rnacentral:rRNA from 1 species
GAUGAACGCUAGCGGCAGGCUUAACACAUGCAAGUCGAGGGGUAGAGUUCUUCGGAGCUUGAGACCGGCGCACGGGUGCGUAACGCGUAUGCAAUCUACCUUUUACAGAGGGAUAGCCCAGAGAAAUUUGGAUUAAUACCUCAUAGCAUUGCAGAAUGGCAUCAUUCAGCAAUUAAAGUCACAACGGUAAAAGAUGAGCAUGCGUCCCAUUAGCUAGUUGGUAAGGUAACGGCUUACCAAGGCUACGAUGGGUAGGGGUCCUGAGAGGGAGAUCCCCCACACUGGUACUGAGACACGGACCAGACUCCUACGGGAGGCAGCAGUGAGGAAUAUUGGACAAUGGGCGCAAGCCUGAUCCAGCCAUGCCGCGUGCAGGAUGACGGUC